AUGCUAGCCAAUGUUUUUGCAGAGAAAGGUGGAAACGGUUUACAGAAUGAAAACUCUCUGAUGGCGUCUUGGAGCAAGAUUCAUCAAGUAUUUUUGGGAAUUAUUUGGCACGAUUUUGACAAUUGUAUGCAGAGGUGGUUUAGUCUAACUGUCAGCUUGGUUUUAAAACAUGAAGGAAAAUGUGGAAUUUGGUUGAGGCUUUCGAAGGCAAGGCAUGAUGAAAGUUACUUGGAGAAAAUGAAGAAAGCUUAG